CCUACGGGAGGCAGCAGUGGGGAAUAUUGGACAAUGGGCGCAAGCCUGAUCCAGCCAUGCCGCGUGAGUGAUGAAGGCCUUAGGGUUGUAAAGCUCUUUCGUCCGGGACGAUAAUGACGGUACCGGAAGAAGAAGCCCCGGCUAACUUCGUGCCAGCAGCCGCGGUAAUACGAAGGGGGCUAGCGUUGUUCGGAAUCACUGGGCGUAAAGGGCGCGUAGGCGGCUUUGUAAGUCGGGGGUGAAAGCCUGUGGCUCAACCACAGAAUUGCCUUCGAUACUGCAUGGCUUGAGACCGGAAGAGGUUAGUGGAACUGCGAGUGUAGAGGUGAAAUUCGUAGAUAUUCGCAAGAACACCAGUGGCGAAGGCGGCUGACUGGUCCGGUUCUGACGCUGAGGCGCGAAAGCGUGGGGAGCAAACAGGAUUAGAUACCCUAGUAGUC
rnacentral:rRNA from 1 species